UACGUAGGGAGCAAGCGUUGUCCGGAAUCAUUGGGCGUAAAGAGCGUGUAGGCGGUCCGGUAAGUCCGUUGUGAAAGUCGAGGGCUCAACCCUCGAAUGCCGGCGGAUACUGUCGGACUAGAGUCCGGAAGAGGCGAGUGGAAUUCCCAGUGUAGCGGUGAAAUGCGUAGAUAUUGGGAGGAACACCAGUGGCGAAGGCGGCUCACUGGACCGGAACUGACGCUGAGGCGCGAAAGCGUGGGGAGCAAACAGG
rnacentral:rRNA from 1 species